UAACAAGCGAUGAUUAGGAGAGUAUUUUAUAAAUUAAAACGUUCAGCGAGUCAAAGCAGGUGAGAGUUUGACCGUUUUUUAUAAAGGAAGAACACCUAUGAGCUUUCAACCAAAAGAUAUAUGUUGAGUAGGCUUGAACGGAUUUUCUAAGCGUUAAAUUAGAAAAAGUAUGUUUGUACUUUAUUGAGUUGGUAUUUUACCAAGAAUUAGGGUGGUAUCACGAACGAUGACUCUUUCGUCCCUAUA
rnacentral:ncRNA from 1 species